rnacentral:lncRNA from 1 species
AGUUGUUUGAAUAUAUCCAUGAACCGGGCGUAAUGCCGUUCAUUCUCCCUUUUAGAUGGAGCAUGUGGAUACGGAAGGUUUUGGAUUGGAGUAGCGCUCACUACCUCCUUUCCUUUAGCAACUCUAGAAUUCCUCUCUCUUUUCUUUUUCACUCCCUCCACCAUCACUUCAUCAUUCUUAUUUUUUUCGACUUCCACACUUUCUUUAUUUUCUACUUCACCAUUUUUUUCAUUCUUUUCAACUUCUUCCUCACUCCACUCCCCAACUUCACCAUCAAUGCUCUCCUCUAUUUUUUUCUCCUCAUCUUUUUUCUCAUCCUCUCUUUUUUCACUCUCAUCUCUUUUUUUACUCUCACUAAUCAAC